rnacentral:rRNA from 1 species
UACGAAGGGGGCUAGCGUUGCUCGGAAUCACUGGGCGUAAAGGGCGCGUAGGCGGCCAUUCAAGUCGGAGGUGAAAGCCCAGGGCUCAACCCUGGAAUUGCCUUCGAUACUGUCUGGCUAGAGACCGGAAGAGGUAAGUGGAACUGCGAGUGUAGAGGUGAAAUUCGUAGAUAUUCGCAAGAACACCAGUGGCGAAGGCGGCUUACUGGUCCGGUUCUGACGCUGAGGCGCGAAAGCGUGGGGAGCAAACGGG